rnacentral:rRNA from 1 species
GAUAUCAAAGGUGGCUCUCGAUGAAGCUAUCGCUUGAGGAUGAGCCCGCGGACCAUUAGCUUGUUGGUGGGGUAAUGGCCCACCAAGGCGACGAUGGUUAGCUGGUCUGAGAGGAUGAUCAGCCACACUGGAACUGACACACGGUCCAGACUCCUACGGUAGGCAGCAGUGAGGAAUUUUGCGCAAUGGGGGAAACCCUGACGCAGCAACGCCGCGUGAGUGAUGAAGGCUUUCGGGUCGUAAAGCUCUGUAGGGUGGGAAGAACCCGUUNUGUGAACAAUACCACAAAGCGCUGACGGUACCACCUGAGGAAGCACCGGCUAACUCCGUGCCAGCAGCCGCGGGUAAUACGGAGGGUGCAAGCGUUAUCCGGAAUUAUUGGGCGUAAAGCGCGCGUAGACGGUACGGUAAGUCAGCUGUGAAAAGCCCCAUGGUUCAACCGAUGGAAGUGCAGUUGAUUACUAUUCGAACUUGAGUAUGGGAGAGGGAAGCGGAAUCCCUGGUGUAGCGGUGAAAUGCGUAGAUUUCAGGAGGAACACCGGUGGCGAAGGCGGCUCCCUGGACCAAUACUGACGGCUCAGGGCGCGAAGGCGUGCGGAGCAAAACAGGAUUAGAUACCCUGGUAGUCCACGCAGUAAACGGUGAUCACUAGGUGUAAGCGGGUAUUGACCCCUUGCUGUGCCGCAGUCGACGCAUUAAAGUGAUCCGCCCUGGGGAGUACGCCCGCAAGGUUUAAACUCAAAGGAAUUGACGGGGGCCCGUACAAGCGGUGGAGCAUGUGGUUUCAUUCGACGCAACGCGAAGAACCUUACCUGGGCUUGACAUCCCGGGAAUUUCCUGGAAACAGGAAAGUGCCCUCCGGGGAGCCUGGUGACAGGUGCUGCAUGGCUGUCGUCAGCUCGUGUCGUGAGAUGUUGGGUUAAGUCCCGCAACGAGCGCAACCCUUAUCUUCAGUUACCAGCAUUUCGGGUGGGGACUCUGAAGAUACUGCCCCGGUCAACGGGGAGGAAGGUGGGGAUGACGUCAAGUCCUCAUGGCCUUUAUGCCCAGGGCUACACACGUGCUACAAUGGACGGUACAAAGGGUCGCUACCUCGCGAGAGCCAGCCAAUCCCAAAAAGCCGUCCUCAGUUCGGAUCGGAGUCUGCAACUCGACUCCGUGAAGUCGGAAUCGCUAGU